ensembl:snRNA U4 U4 spliceosomal RNA
AGUUUUGCACAGUGGCAGUAUCAUAGCCAAGGACGUUUAUCUGAGGUGUGAUUAUUGCUGACUGAAAUUUUUCCCAGUCCCCCGCCAUGAUGACUUGAAAUAUAGUCGGCAUUGGGAAUUUUUCACAGUCUCUACGGAGA